rnacentral:rRNA from 1 species
GACGAACGCUGGCGGCGUGCUUAACACAUGCAAGUCGAACGGUAAGGCCCUGUCGUGGGUACACGAUCGGCGAACGGGUGAGUAACACGCGAGUAACCUGCCCACCACUUUGGGUGAACGCAAGUCAACUGGCGCGAACACUGGCUAUGUGCGCCCUCUGCAUGGUGGGGGUUGGAAAGAUACGGUGGUUGGGGGUGGACUGGCGGCCGGUUUGCUUGUUUGUUGGGUAGUUGCCUACCUAGGCGGCGACGGGUAGCCGGCCGGAGGGGGUGACCGGCCCCAUUGGGACUGAGAUUCGGCCCAGACUCCCACGGGAGGCAGCAGGGGGGAAUAUUGCACAAUUGGCGCGAGCCUGAUGCAGCAACGCCGCGUGCGGGAUGACGGCCUUCGGGUUGUAAACCGCUUUCAGCAGGGACGAAGCUUUUUGUGACGGUACCUGCAGAAGAAGCACCGGCUAACUACGUG